UACGUAGGGGGCAAGCGUUGUCCGGAUUUAUUGGGCGUAAAGAGCGUGUAGGCGGCCAGACAGGUCAGCUGUGAAAACUCGAGGCUCAACCUCGAGACGUCGGUUGAAACCGUCUGGCUAGAGUCCGGAAGAGGAGAGUGGAAUUCCCGGUGUAGCGGUGAAAUGCGCAGAUAUCGGGGAAGAACACCCGUGGCGAAGGCGGCUCUCUGGGACGGUACUGACGCUGAUGCGCGAAAGCCAGGGGAGCGAACGGG
rnacentral:rRNA from 1 species